rnacentral:lncRNA from 1 species
AUGAAAUUCAUUAGUUUUAAAAGGUUACAAAUAUGAUUACUUCAACUAUAUAUGUAGAUAGCCAUUUGUUUACAUAUACAUACUCCUGUUCAUGUAUUCAAUACAUAUUUAUUGAGCAUCUACUUGACUCCAGGCACAUUGUUAGGACAGGAAAUAUAAUAGAAUCAAAAUAAGCAUGGCACCUGCCCUUGUAGAUCCUGUAUAGCAUGAGGAUCACUGCUAACUCCUGCUCCUGCUCUCCUGGCAGGCAUCACUAAUCAACAAAGACAUUCUCAGAGCUUGGAGCUCCUCAACUUUGUCCUCUUCAUCAGUUACUGUGAAUGAAUCAACACUGGCAUGGGAACUAAAAACAAUUUGCCAACCUAGGUGUAUUUCAAGGUGUACGUAACAUGCCAUUUAAAUUGGAUAUUUCAACCGAGAUACCCAGUUGAUAACAAGUACAGUUGAUAACAAGAAUCAAAGUAAAUUUCAACAUAGACUUCUUAAUUAAGUCAGCUUUGAAUAUUUUAUUUGGGAAUGGGUUGCGUGAUUUUGGGGGGUCUUUUUCCAGAGGCCCUGUGUCAAGAUGAAAAAAUAAAGAUAAAAAAGUGGAUCCAGGUUGGCCAAGUAUUUUGUAGAGAUAGCAUUAAGACUCUCUUUAUGGAGUCAUCUUCUUUCCACCCAAGGCUAUUGAGGGAUUCUUUCCUGGGAGACUUGGCAAGUAUGCAAUCAAAAUGCCACAGGGCACUGGUGCCACAAUCAUACUUGAGAAUGUUGAAGUGGCUUGUGUACAAGAGAACUGUGUAUGUGGGGGAAAAACUACAUCGUUACCAUUGUAAGUCAAUGGGGGUAUGAAUACUGACUGGGACCAGUAUUUUCCAAUGAAUCUUUCCAAAGAUUUUCUUUCCAGGUGAGGGGACCCCAGUGAAAGCAAGCUGAAAGGAUCACCAGGACAGAAACUGAGUUGAGAUUGGAAUCUACAGAGUCCAGAAGAACCACUGCCCAGGGGGCAGGUGUUAGAAUUGAUGGGACCCGGGGGCAAGAAACUUCAAAGACUUGCAAAAGCACCCGCACAAGGAUGUCAGCUUUAAAACAUCUGCAAGGUCUAAGAAACACAGCAUCUGCUCAUAACAACAGUGGUCAUGUAAGAAGUACAAAUAUUCUUGUCACUUUAAUACCAACCUCUCCCAACCUCCAGUUGGUGGAUGCAGAAGGAAAUAUUUCCUCCCAUUGAAGGCCACAGACUUCAGCUGAGGGGAGGAAAUCAGACUUAACUUUCAAUCAAGUGAAGACAUCAAAAAAUUAUCUGAAAGAGUACAUUUUAUACUAUUUGAGAUCAUAUUUGUUACUGGAAGAGUUACAGGCCUUUUUGCUCUCUGAAAGUGACCCCCAAAAGUUGUAGAAAUUGCAUUGUCACUCAAAAGCAGGGGAUGGACCAAAAGUAUUGAUGGACUGAAAGUGGGACUUUGGGAAACAGAAAUACAGCAGUUCAUCUUAUGAUAGCAUGUAUUUAUUGGACAACAAUUAUGCGCCAGUGUACUGGAUAUAUGUGGAUGGGAGAAAAGCAUUUUAAGCAACUGCUGACUCAUCAGGGGGUAUAGUUAAGGACUUUAUGUUCAGUGUUCUAAAGAUGAUGUGCAUAUGGGUGGAGAGAUAAUAGAUAGGGAGUGACCUAGGCAUUCUGUUCAUUUUGUGUAAUUUCUGCAAAGGUUUGGUGAAACCUUAAGCCUGUUAACUAGGGGAAGUGUUGUGAUUCUGGUCCUCUUUGUUGACUUGACCAUAUAUGAGUUUGUCCUCUUAUCUCUGUCCUAUACCAGUUUGCAUUUAAAUUGCUGGACUGAUGUGUCAUGGGUGCUAAGUUACUUUUAGAACCUUUAUUUCCUGCCUGAAAAGUUCAGUGUUUAAGUACUGAUUUUCUUCUAUUAUGUAUAUAUCUUAUAGUUUUACUAAUUUGCAUUUGAAUUUUUUUUUUUUUUUGCAAUUUGAUGG